AAUUGAUGUAAGUAUGGAGAAAAUGAUUUCUUUUAUAAAGUCAUUGUUUAUUUAUUAGACAAAAUUGAAGUAUGAAGAAAAUGGUUUCUUUUAUAAAUUUGUUGUUUAAGAUGCUCAGUUUAUCAGUUUUAGUACUUACCGAUGGCCAAACUUUCAAGUCAAAGGAAUUUCAUUUAGCAUCCAGGAGUGCCAAGGAACUGGGCAACAGACUCUGCUGCAAACUCCUUAGGUAGUUCUGAUGGAAGCCAAACUGAAAGCGAAGAAAAGUACCAGCAACCUCAUAGGAGAGAGCAAUAGGUGGCUAGCCACUUUAGAGCGUCAGUGCAAAUCAGUUGUCUUAGUGGUAGGACUGCUACUCCUAUCUAGAUUCUCUGGAAUACUAACCCUGUGACUCACCUUGGAAUUUAUGAUGUAGAGGUAAUUGUAGGUUCUCAAGUCUCACUAGUGCCUUAACAGGUGUAAACGCCCCAAGUGACCUUUGGCUCUAGGGGCAAUAGUCACAGAGGAACUAACAUAUCUAUAAUGCAUGUACCUCAGCCAAUCACACCAGUGUCCUAAGUACUAGCACCUGUGGUCCAGGUUCCUAAUAUCAUAGCUCUAAUUCAUAAGACCCUGGGCAAUACUAUAAUCCCAUAGGUAACAGAGGAAAAUUUGGUCUUCAAGUUUCACAGCUUCUAAUGAUCAGUUGCUCCGGCUGAAGAAGACAAACUUGACUUCCUAGAGUAUUAAAGAACUCGAGAAGCACCAGUCCAAAAUUCCCCCAGAGCAGUAUAAGAGGAAUCAAUAUUUCUAUAGUUUAGAUUCCUUUUAUGAAUGUUAUAGUUGCUCUAAUUCUUAAGGUAGUGAUUCUAAUGAUGUAGUUCUAUAAGUCUAAAG
rnacentral:misc_RNA from 1 species